rnacentral:rRNA from 1 species
UACGGGGGGGCUAGCGUUGUUCGGAAUUCCUGGGCGUAAAGCGCACGUAGGCGGCUUUGUAAGUUAGAGGUGAAAGCCCGGGGCUCAACUCCGGAAUUGCCUUUAAGACUGCAUCGCUAGAAUUGUGGAGAGGUAAGUGGAAUUCCGAGUGUAGAGGUGAAAUUCGUAGAUAUUCGGAAGAACACCAGUGGCGAAGGCGACUUACUGGACACAUAUUGACGCUGAGGUGCGAAAGCGUGGGGAGCAAACAGG